CCCCUUGCCAAGGGCAGACCAACCCCGAGGGCAUCUGAGCUCCCAGGGCCACACUAAGCUACAUUCCAAGGCACGUGUCUGGUGGCUGGAGGAGGAAAAUGGAGGUUUUCAAACUGAGAACCUGGAGCAGAUGGACGGUCCACACACAGAGCUCCUGGUAGCCUGUGUGCUUCUGGUGUAGGGAAACUCUGCUCUGCCCACCCCACCUAAGGGUCCCUCUCAGCAGCACAGCCCUCCUUGAGGUAUACCCCAUCCCAGCUGCGCUCGCCUGACUUCCUGGGAACAAGGCACUCCCUCUCCUGACCCUCUGCCCAGUGUGAACGAAGUUGGAGCUGCAGGAGUGAAAUAAAGCAGGACUUCCUGGACCCUGAGGAGGGGCUGGUAUAUUACGAGGAAACUGCCUUGCUCCCCAAAACCCUCUGUCUGGUUGUAGUGGCAGAGACUCCUGGUAGCUCUUCCUUUCUCUGGGGUGAAUGCACCGGGCAGGGUGAGAAGCCCGAGUCCCAUCGGCUGCCAUCUCUAGCCCCUCAGAUCUCCUGAGGACCACGGUGGGCAGGGAGAGAGGCAGAGGCAGGGCGACUCCCUCUGGGGGGCCUAUUGGCACAUGGCCCCGUGGAAGUGGGGGCACUGAAGAGAAUCCUGGGGCCUGGCAGGCUUGGGAAACCAAGCACGGUGGCCUGGGGGAGGGGCGGAACCAGUGGGAGAGAAGCUUUCAGACUUUCAGGGAACGUAAAUUUUACCCCCGGCUACUUUCUCUGGGAUUUAUUUCUCGGUGAACUUGAGACUUUGCCUAAUUACGUUUGGGUCUCUUUCAAAGCACAUAAAUUGCAUCCAGUUCUUCUGCCUCCUUCUUAGGAAUAAAUUGUCCCUGUGUGAGGAGGGAUCUGGGGGAGAGAGUGAGACUUUAUUAAUUCGACACAGAACUCUGUUCCCCUGCCCUCCCCUCUGCCCCCCAUUGAAUAAUAAAAUAAUGAAGAUUUGACUUGGACCAGGGUGUAUGGAUAAAUAUAUUGGUGACAUGAAUGGAAAUGGAUUUAUUACAUAAACAGGAGACUUCAUCAAUUUAAACCUGGCCUCCUUUCAAUGGGCAUAAAUUACAUUUUCUUUUCCUACCAGUUGCUUUUUUUUUUUUUUUUUUAAGAAACUGGAUUUAUCGGAAUUGAGAUUCCACUAAUUUAUUUCAUGGAGCGUGUGCUUCCUCUUUUUGCCCACCUCAUUAGAGACAGGUUUCCUUCCAGCUCUCCUCUUUCCCACUCAGGGCAAUGUGGUCCCCUGGGAGGUCAGGAAUGAGGCUGGGGUGGGCUGUCUCAGUUGGGCCCUGAGAGACCCUGAGUCUCUACUCCAUCUAGAGCAAUCCAGUUCUUAGGCAGGGGGCCACGUCAAGAUGUCCAACCCCAUAAGCAGAAGUAGGUCCCUCUCCAGGCCCCCAUGAGGCUGAGAGAUGGACCAAUGCAGGACCUGGCCUCAGCGGGUCCUAGGACAGGGCAGCAGGCAAGUGGCAGGGGAAUUCAGCAAACACAAUUGCAGCAAGAGCCUCAGGUGCUUGGCCAGGAGUUCCAAGUGAGGCGGCAUGGGAAGGCUGAAGGGAGUGCCUGAAGGUCCCAUUAAAGACCAGUGGCAGGCCAGGCGUGGUGGCUCACACCUGUAAUCCCAGCACUUUGGAAGGCCAAGGCUGGCGGAUCACAAGAGGUCAGGAGUUUGAGGCAAGCCUGGCCAAUGUGGUGAAACCCCAUCUCCACUAAAAAUACAAAAAUUAGCCAGGUGUGGUGGUGCACACUUGUAAUCCCAGCUACUCAGGAGGCUGAGGCAGGAGAGUCCCUUGAACCUAGAAGGUGGAGUUUGCAGUGAGCCACAAUGCUCCAUUGCACUCCUCCAGCCUGGGUGACAAGAGUGAAACUCCGUCUCAAAAAAAAAAAAAAAAA
rnacentral:lncRNA from 1 species